GCAGCAGCCACGGUAAUACAGAGGGUGCGAGCGUUAAUCGGAUUUACUGGGCGUAAAGCGUGCGUAGGCGGCUUUUUAAGUCGGAUGUGAAAUCCCUGAGCUUAACUUAGGAAUUGCAUUCGAUACUGGGAAGCUAGAGUAUGGGAGAGGAUGGUAGAAUUCCAGGUGUAGCGGUGAAAUGCGUAGAGAUCUGGAGGAAUACCGAUGGCGAAGGCAGCCAUCUGGCCUAAUACUGACGCUGAGGUACGAAAGCAUGGGGAGCAAACAGGAUUAGAUACCCCUGUAGUCCCUGUCUCUUAUAC
rnacentral:rRNA from 1 species